rfam:Dipodomys ordii contig_2872, whole genome shotgun sequence.
GGGAAAGUGGCUCAGUGGUAGAGCACUUGCCUUGUAUGCAUGAGGCCCUGGGUUUGGUUCCUCAGCACCA